rfam:Populus trichocarpa scaffold_1_contig_185, whole genome shotgun sequence.
UCUAGAACUCGAGAUAUGGCUUGAACACUGAACAGUGUCUAGGCUGCAUGACAGAUUCCGACUUCUUUGUUGUUGCCACAAGUUGAACUUGAAAACGAUCCUUUUGAAUCUUGGACUCUUCAUAAAAGUUUUAGGCCUAUUUCUGAGCUUUCUAUC